rnacentral:lncRNA from 1 species
UGACGAGAAGAUCUUCAUUAAAAAAUGGUCUGACACAUGUAAAAACAUAAAUAAGAAAUAUUAUUUAUGAAAAACACAUACCACGUAUAGAACGAAAACUAAUAAUAUUAUACAUGCAGGGUGUUUAAUUAAAACAAAAAUUAAACGUUAUCCCAAAAGAUUCUUUCAGAAGGUCCAAUAAUAUCAAUAACCUUUUCCUCAUUGUUGGUCAUUGGUGGAUCAUCAACAAUAUCCAAUUGAUGAUUAACAAAGUUUGUUUAUACCUCUAUUACUUUGUUCUUUUGAGACUCCUGGAAUAAAUUAACCAGAUGCCUCGGCGUACGCCAGGUACGCGACCAAUGCCCUUUCAUCCCACACCUAAAACAAACAUCUGGUUUGUUCUUUAUCGGUG